GAUGAAGAACGUAGCGAAAUGCGAUACGUAAUGUGAAUUGCAGAAUUCAGUGAAUCAUCGAAUCUUUGAACGCACAUUGCGCCCCCUGGUAUUCCGGGGGGCAUGCCUGUUCGAGCGUCAUUACAACCCUCAAGCUCUGCUUGGUGUUGGGCCCCGCCGCCCCGGCGGGCCCUAAAAUCAGUGGCGGUGCCGUCCGGCUCCGAGCGUAGUAAUUCUUCUCGCUCUGGAGGUCCGGGUGUGUGCUCGCCAGCAACCCCCAAUUUUUUUCAGGUUGACCUCGGAUCAGGUAGGGAUACCCGCUGAACUUAAGCAUAUCAAUAAGCGGAGGA
rnacentral:misc_RNA from 1 species